GUGCCUUGCGGCUGCUUUAACAUGCAGUCGAACGGCAGCGCGGGCUUCGGCCUGGCGGCGAGUGGCGAACGGGUGAGUAAUGCAUCGGAACGUGCCCAGUAGUGGGGGAUAGCCCGGCGAAAGCCGGAUUAAUACCGCAUACGACCUGAGGGUGAAAGCGGGGGACCGAAAGGCCUCGCGCUAUUGGAGCGGCCGAUGUCGGAUUACCUAGUUGGUGGGGUAAAGGCUUACCAAGGCGACGAUCCGUAGCUGGUCUGAGAGGACGACCAGCCACACUGGGACUGAGACACGGCCCAGACUCCUACGGGAGGCAGCAGUGGGGAAUUUUGGACAAUGGGGGCAACCCUGAUCCAGCCAUGCCGCGUGCGGGAAGAAGGCCUUCGGGUUGUAAACCGCUUUUGUUCGGGAAGAAAUCCUCUGGGCUAAUACCCCGGGGGGAUGACGGUACCGGAAGAAUAAGCACCGGCUAACUACGUGCCAGCAGCCGCGGUAAUACGUAGGGUGCGAGCGUUAAUCGGAAUUACUGGGCGUAAAGCGUGCGCAGGCGGUUGUGCAAGACA
rnacentral:rRNA from 1 species